rnacentral:ribozyme from 1 species
AAAAAAAAAAAAAAAAAAAAAACGUCAAAUUUCUGAAAAAAUGUAUGUCACUGUUUCGCAUAUGUCACCUGAUAAACCUAGAUUUUUUUGACCUUUUUCA